rnacentral:rRNA from 1 species
GAUGAACGCUAGCAGCAGGCCUAAUACAUGCAAGUCGAACGGUGUCUUCGGACAUAGUGGCGCACGGGUGCGUAACACGUAUGCAACCUACCUUACAUUGGGGGAUAGCCUUUCGAAAGGGAGAUUAAUACCGCAUAAGACAGUAGCUGGGCAUCCAGCAGCUGUUAAAGAUUUAUCGAUGUAAGCUGGGCAUGCGUCCAAUUAGCUAGUUGGUGAGGUAACGGCUCACCAAGGCAAUGAUUGGUAGGGGAACUGAGAGGUCAAUCCCCCACACUGGCACUGAGCUACGGGCCAGACUCCUACGGGAGGCAGCAGUAGGGAAUAUUGGACAAUGGACGCAAGUCUGACCCAGCCAUGCCGCGUGCAGGAUGAAGGCGUUAUGCGUUGUAAACUGCUUUUAUACAGGAAGAAACGACUCUUGCGAGAGGCAUUGACGGUACUGUAUGAAUAAGCACCGGCUAACUCCGUGCCAGCCGCCGCCGUAACAC